rnacentral:rRNA from 1 species
UUCGCAAUGCCCGAAAGGGUGACGAUGCGACGCCGCGUGAGCGAAGAAGGCCUUAGGGUUGUAAAGCUCUGUCGAGGGUUAUGAAAUAUAGAUGGGUUAAUACCCCAUUUAUUUGACAAAAGCCCAAAAGGAAGCCACGGCUAACUCUGUGCCAGCAGCCGCGGUAAUACAGAGGUGGCGAGCGUUGUUCGGUAUUAUUGGGCGUAAAGAGCACGUAGGUGGUUUUGUAAGUCAGGUGUGAAAGCCUUCUGUUCAAAGGAAGAACGGCAUCUGAAACUGCAGAUCUUGAGUGUAGGAGGGGAGAGUGGAACUUCUGGUGGAGCGGUGAAAUGCGUAGAUAUCAGAAGGAACGUCGGCGGCGAAGGCGACUCUCUGGCCUAUUACUGACACUGAGGUGCGAAAGUUAGGGGAGCAAACGGGAUUAGAUACCCCGGUAGUCCUAACCGUAAACGAUGGGCACUAAGUAGAGGGGUUUU